CAGAGGGCUCUGAAGGACAAACUUGGAAAGGUGACUUUAAGUCAGAAGCUGCUGGGCCCCAGUGCCCAGCACAGCACUGGGCAAAUGGAGGGCACCCAAUGUGUGCACGGAUGAACGCUGGACAUGUGAUGGGUGGCUGGAGCUUAGGAGCAGGAAUAAAACUGAAUGUCCUGUCUGGGAGUCUGUUUCUGUGUUGUAAGGCAAGCUGACCCAGGCCAGGACAUUGCCCAAUGUGCCAUACCUGGGCUCGGGACUGCGGCAAGUCACAGGCACCCUUUGGACAGAGUCCACUGCCUAGCAAAACAUGGGACUUCAGAGGAAAGCCCUGAUCAGAGAAAUCCUUGUGUGCUUCUCACCCCCAGGGAGUUCCUGGAGCUGAAGGAAGCCUGGCCAGUUGGAGCUGAACUAGUCUGGAUUUGACCAAAGAGAGUGACUGGAGGAAGGAGAACUGAGCUCACUUACUCUCUCUCCCGGGGAAGGAAGACGGAGCGGAAACGUGGGGCAUAAUCCUUUGGUGGACCUGAGUGACAUAAUUUCUCUACCAGAAAUUGAGAUGCAUGUUUGACGAGUGAGUUUAUAAGGGUAAUGGAACAGAUGAUUUGAAAUGAAGUUUCUUUCAGAUGCCGCAUGUGUUU